UGGAUAACCUGCCCUCUAGUGGGGAAUACCGUUGGGAAACCGACGACAAUACCGCAUAAGCUCGAGAGAGGAAAGCAGCAAUGCGCUGGAGGAGGGGUCCGCGGCCGAUUAGCUUGUUGGUAGGGUAAUGGCCUACCAAGGCUUUGAUCGGUAGCCGGCCUGAGAGGGCACACGGCCACACUGGCACUGAAACACGGGCCAGACUCCUACGGGAGGCAGCAGUGGGGAAUCUUGCACAAUGGGGGAAACCCUGAUGCAGCGACGCCGCGUGAGCGAUGAAGCCCUUCGGGGUGUAAAGCUCUUUCGGCAGGGAAGAUUAUGACGGUACCUGCAGAAGCAGCUGCGGCUAACUACGUGCCAGCAGCCGCGGUAAUACGUAGGCAGCAAGCGUUGUUCGGAGUUACUGGGCGUAAAGGGUGCGCAGGCGGUCCUGUAAGUAUGGUGUGAAAUCUCCCGGCUUAACUGGGAGGGUGCGCUAUAAACUGCGGGACUAGAGUGUGGGAGAGGAAAGUGGAAUUCCUGGUGUAGCGGUGAAAUGCGUAGAUAUCAGGAGGAACACCGGUGGUGUAAACGGCUUUCUGGACCAUAACUGACGCUGAGGCACGAAAGCGUGGGUAGCAAACAGGAUUAGAUACCCUGGUAGUCCACGCCCUAAACGAUGCAUAUUUGGUGUGGGUCAUUCAGUUGAUCCGUGCCGGAGCUAACGCGUUAAAUAUGCCGCCUGGGGAGUACAGUCGCAAGGCUGAAACUCAAAGGAAUUGACGGGGGCCCGCACAAGCGGUGGAGCAUGUGGUUUAAUUCGACGCAACGCG
rnacentral:rRNA from 1 species